CGGAUUUCCUGCGGGUCCGGCUGCCUCUAUUCGAGGAGCGCCAGGAGUCCCUUCUGUUCUCCUCGGGCUCGGAAGUAGAAAGGAUGGUGUCCGUGUGGAGGCGCUGUGUUUCAGGGGUGUGAGACACGGAUACAUCUGUGUGAGGAUCACAAAGCCAACAGAUUGGUGGCCGCUGUGGCGAGGUCGACCAGAUGGCCCGACAGGUUGUUGGGGAUUUUUGUUACUAUCUGUACUGUAAUAGUAUCCAAUUGAAGACCACCAGAGAAGGAUGUUGAAAUGAAGAACUGUCUUAACACACUGAGAAGUUGGGGAACCUCUCCUUCCAGCCACGAGGCCCUGCCCUGCAGCAACCGACCUGGAAAACCAGACCCCAGCCCCUGCAGCAAUGGGCUCCAGGAUUCAGUGCGUGGCCCAGAACUGAUGAUUACACAACUCAGUUUAAACUCUGUGAAAGUGAAGCUGCUCAGUCAUGCCUGACUCUUUGCAACCCUAUGGACUGUAGCCUACCAGGCUCCUCUGUCCAUGGGAUAUUUCAGGCAAGAGUACUGGAGUGGGUUGCCAUUUCCUUCUCCAGGGGAUCUUCCCAAGCCAGGGAUCCAGCCGGGGUCUCCCACAUUGUAGGGAGAUGCUUUGCCAUCUGAGCCACUUAAACUCUGUACUAGGGAUUAUAUAACAACAAUGUAUCCUGCUUGAGGACAGUUUCUCCUUCCUGAAAACCUUCUGAUUAAUCCUGAUAUCUUAGAAUGUAUAUUAUGGGAAUGGGUCUGGUAGGAUCUUUCUGUUAAAUUCUAGUCCUGUUAUCCUAAAAUGUUAAUUGUGGGAGUGGGUCUGGUAAAACUUUCACACACUUGAGACAUUCUUUUGAUUUAUUGUAGUAACUAAUUUAAAAAGUAUAUACCUCCCUUGCUAACACUAGCAAGGGGGGCACUCCCCACCCCCUUCUGCUGUCCAUGUCAGAAGCUUUCUCUGACCUUUUCCCACUGUCAUAACACUCUGCUACACAAACGCUCUUGAGUGAUCAAUCCUGGUCCCUGGUCCUGAAGCUAAAUCUUCUUCGGAGAUCCUGUAUCCGACAUCGUUCAUAGUAAGCUCGAUUGAAUCUAUAACAAUCUCUUAAAAGCCAAAUAUAAUCUUAAAAUAAGCUAUGCCGCUGCUAAGUCACUUCAGUCGUGUCCGACUCUGUGCGACCCCACAGAUGGCAGCCCACCAGAUUCCCCUGCCCCUGGGAUUCUCCAGGCAAGAACACUGGAGUGGGUUGCCAUUUGAAAAAUGAAAGUGAAGUCUCUCAGUUGUGUCCGACUCUUAGCGACCCCAUGGACCGCAGCCUACAAGGCUCCUCCAUCCAUGGGAUUUUCCAGGCAAGAGUACUGGAGUGGGGUGCCAUUGCCUUCUCCAAAAUAAGCUAAACGCCCUAUUAAAAUAAAAUAAAAUUCAACUGACUAAAAUUUUAAAAU
rnacentral:lncRNA from 1 species